rnacentral:rRNA from 1 species
UACGAAGGGGGCUAGCGUUGCUCGGAAUUACUGGGCGUAAAGCGCACGUAGGCGGCUUUCUAAGUCGGGGGUGAAAUCCUGGAGCUCAACUCCAGAACUGCCUUCGAUACUGGAAAGCUCGAGUCCGGGAGAGGUGAGUGGAACUGCGAGUGUAGAGGUGAAAUUCGUAGAUAUUCGCAAGAACACCAGUGGCGAAGGCGGCUCACUGGCCCGGUACUGACGCUGAGGAGCGAAAGUGUGGGGAGCGAACAGG